rnacentral:snoRNA from 1 species
GAGGCGAUACUUUACAGAAUCAUUUGUAUAGUAAGUAUGCUAUCCGAGUUACUACAAAAUAGUGCUCGCUCGAUACUGGAAUGAGGAAGAACAACUUCAAUUCUUUAAUUAGAAGGUUAGAGAUAUUUAGGAGUGUAAGUAUAUUUACACUUCUGUCUCUUUUGAUGAAUUAUUGAAUAUCCUCCAGAAUAUCUGUUGAGGAAGGAUUAGAAGUAUUCUGACCAGUG